rnacentral:lncRNA from 1 species
ACAGAUACGAUCAAACAUUUCAUCCAAGCCUAACCCGACUUGGUCAAUAUGCUAAGAACAUGCAGCGGGUUGCUAGAGGAGACACCAUGUUUCAUUCCUGUCAACCAAAUGGUCGGUUGUCAGUCUCAGCGUUGAAGAUGUCUCGACUUGGGCAAGUUCCUUACUCUUGGUAGGUACACUCCGAGAACCGCCCAACAGAAAGGUUGUCGCUACUUGGGGCAAGUUCCUAACUCUUGGUAGGUACACUCCGAGAACCGUCCAACAGAAAGGUUGUCGGGAACUUAGGAUCAACUUUGGCUUCGGCACUUGGUUCUGCAAGAAAAAAGAAAAAGUCGCCAUUGAGAAGGUUUCUGCUAGGAACUUUGAUGCCCAAGUAUCUGAUAUGGAUUGAGAUAUUAAUACGGAGAUGCAUUAAUGAAAUCUCGAAAAAAAAAUGAGAGUGUCACCUUCGGAGGGACUCUUUUAUAGUCAAUAGUUAAA